rnacentral:rRNA from 1 species
CGGGGGGAGCAAGCGUUGUUCGGAUUUACUGGGCGUAAAGGGCGCGUAGGCGGCCACCGCAAGUCGACUGUGAAAUCUCCGGGCUUAACCCGGAAAGGUCAGCCGAUACUGCGGGGCUAGAGUGCAGAAGGGGCAACUGGAAUUCUCGGUGUAGCGGUGAAAUGCGUAGAUAUCGAGAGGAACACCUGCGGCGAAGGCGGGUUGCUGGGCUGACACUGACGCUGAGGCGCGAAAGCUAGGGGAGCGAACGGGAUUAGAUACCCCGGUAGUCCUAGCCUUAAGCGAUGAAUGCUUGGUGUCUGGGGUUUUAUAGUCCCCGGGUGCCGUCGCUAACGCUUUAAGCAUUCCGCCUGGGGAGUACGGUCGCAAGACUG